rnacentral:rRNA from 1 species
UACGUAGGGUGCAAGCGUUAUCCGGAAUUAUUGGGCGUAAAGAGCUCGUAGGCGGUUUGUCGCGUCUGCUGUGAAAACCCGAGGCUCAACCUCGGGCCUGCAGUGGGUACGGGCAGACUAGAGUGCGGUAGGGGAGAUUGGAAUUCCUGGUGUAGCGGUGAAAUGCGCAGAUAUCAGGAGGAACACCGGUGGCGAAGGCGGCACGCUGGACCCUCUCUGACGCUGAGGCGCGAAAGCCAGGGGAGCGAACGGG